AGCUUUUAUGUAUGACUUGAAUAGGAUAUGAAUUGAAACUUUUAGGAUAUGAGUUGAACUUUUAGGAAAAAAAUUGAACCUUUAGCAUAUGUAUUGAACCUUUAGGAUAUGACUUGAACUUUUAGUUUAUGUUUAAACUCGUAGGAUAUGAAUAUAAUGUUUAGUAUUUAGGUUUUGUUCUUGUGAAUUGAAUUUUUAGGAUAUGAAUUGAAACUUUUAGGAUAUGAGUUGAACUUUUAGGAAAUAAAUUGAACCUUUAGCAUAUGUAUUGAACCUUUAGGAUAUGACUUGAACUUUUAGUUUAUGUUUAAAUCGUAGGAUGUGAAUAUAACUUUAAGUUUUUAGGUUUUGUUAUUGUGAAUUGAAUUUGUAGGAUAUAAAUGGAAACUUUUUGGAUAUGAGUUGAAUUUUUAGGAUAUAAAUAGAAAUAUUAGGAUAUGACUUGAACUUUUGUGGAUAUAAAUUGAACCUUUAGGAUAUAAAUUGAACUUUUAGUUUAUGUUUAAACUCGUAGGAUAAGAAUUGAUAAACUUUUAAUUUUUAGGUUUUAUUCUUGUGAAUUGAACUUGUACGAUAUAAAUUGAAGCUUUUAUGUAUGACAUGAACUUUUUAGGAUAUGAAUUGAAACUUUUAGGAUAUGAGUUGAACUUUAGGGAAAUAAAUUGAACCUUUAGGAUAUGUAUUGAACCUUUAGGAUAUGACUUGAAGUUUUAGUUUAUGUUUAAAAUCGUAAGAUAUGAAUAUAACUUUUAGUUUUUAGGUUUUGUUCUUGUUAAUUGAACUUGUAGGAUAUAAAUUGAAGCUUUUAUGUAUGACUUGAAUUUUUUAGAAUAUGAAUUGAAACUUUUAGGAUAUGAGUUGAACUUUUAGGAAAUAAAUUGAACCUUUAGCAUAUGUAUUGAACCUUUAGGAUAUGACUUGAACUUUUAGUUUAUGUUUAAACUCGUAUGAUAUGAAUAUAACUUUUAGUUUUUAGGUUUUGUUCUUGUGAAUUGAACUUGUAGGAUAUAAAUUGAAAUUUUAGGAUAUGAGUUGAAUUUUUUUGGAUAUGAAUUGAAACUUUUAGGAUAUGAGUUGAACUUUUAGGAAAUAAAUUCAACCUUUAGCAUAUGUAUUGAACCUUUAGGAUAUGACUUGAACUUUUAGGAUAUGUUUAAACUCGUAGGAUAUGAAUAUAACUUUUAGUUUUUAGGUUUUGUUCUUGUGAGUUGA
rnacentral:lncRNA from 1 species